AGUCAUUUAAUAAAGUUUUAAUUUUAUGAAGGGUCAUAAGAGCUAAAAGAAAACUAUUUAAUUGAUGUAUGGAGAGAUAAUGAUAUUUAUAAAUUAUAAUGUGAUAAAGCUACUAUUAGUCAAAAAAAGAAGCCAUUAUACAAAGGGUGGAAAUAUGACUAAAAUUCUUAAUUUUGUAUAUGUCAUGAGUAUCAUUCUUUCCAUAUUUAUUGUUUCAAUGAACGUGAAUGGUCUUGAAUGUAGAAAUGAUUAUGAAUGUCUAAACAAACGUUGUACAGUUCCUUUUGAACCGAGGUGUAUAUUUUAUAGAUGUAAAUGUAUUCAAAAUAAUUUUGAUUUCUUUUGAAUAAAAAUACUUACCCACUAUGUACCAA